GUUUGACCCCCCGAAACUAAGCGAGCUACUCUAAAACAGCCCACAGAGCCAACCCAUCCCUGUUACAAAAGGGUGGAAAGAUUUUAAAGUAGAGGUGACACACCAAUCGAGCCUAGAGAUAGCUGGUUAUUCAAAAGACGGAUCUAAGUCCAACUUUAAGCUUCUAUAAGUGGCACAAACAACCCACAAACUUAAAAGCCAUUCAAAUAAGGUACAGCCUAUUUGAACAAGGAGACAACCUAUGACAUAGGGUAACGACCACCACACGUGACCAAGUGGGCCUAAAAGCAGCCAACUUCUAAAAGGCGUCCAAGCCUUACCACACCUACUAUCAAUUUCUCUAUCCAUCCACAACCCACAACCAAUAAUGAAUGACCCCAUACCCAUAUGGAAGACACCAUGCUAGAACUAGUAACAAGAAGACGAACUUCUCCAAAAUGCAAACAUAGGCCAAAAUGAACCCUCACCGGCACUUACCGCACCACAACAUAGUACCAACUACACAAGAAUACCCUACUACAUUAAACGUCAACCUUACACAAGAGCACUCCUGGAAAGAUUAAAAGGGGGGGAAGGAACUCGGCAAACA
rnacentral:rRNA from 1 species